rnacentral:rRNA from 1 species
GACGGAAGGUGCAAGCGUUGCUCGGAAUCACUGGGCGUAAAGGGUGCGUAGGCGGCCGCGCAAGUCUGGCGUGAAAUCCCGAGGCUCAACCUCGGGUCUGCAGUCGAUACGGGCGGACUGGAGUUCGGCAGGGGAGACUGGAAUUCCUGGUGUAGCGGUGAAAUGCGCAGAUAUCAGGAGGAACACCGGUGGCGAAGGCGGGUCUCUGGGCCGAUACUGACGCUGAGGAGCGAAAGCGUGGGGAGCGAACAGG